AGUGAACGCUGGCGGUAGGCCUAACACAUGCAAGUCGAACGGCAGCACAGUAAGAGCUUGCUCUUACGGGUGGCGAGUGGCGGACGGGUGAGGAAUACAUCGGAAUCUACUUUUUCGUGGGGGAUAACGGAGGGAAACUUACGCUAAUACCGCAUACGACCUACGGGUGAAAGCAGGGGAUCUUCGGACCUUGCGCGAUUGAAGGGGCCGAUGUCGGAUUAGCUAGUUGGCGGGGUAAAGGCCCACCAAGGCGACGAUCCGUAGCUGGACUGAGAGAAUGGUAGGCCGCCUUGGAGGUGAGACACGGUCCAGGGGCCUGAGAGAGGGAGCAGAGGGGAAUGGUGGGCAAUGGUGGGAAACAUGGUCCAGUGGUCCCGAGUGUGUGGAGACGGCCCUGGGGGUGUAAAGACGUUUUGUGGGGAGAGAAAAGCAGCAGGUUAAGACGAAGCGGUAGUGACGGUACCUAAAGAAGAAGCACCGGCUAACUACGUG
rnacentral:rRNA from 1 species